GACAAACGCUGGCGGCGUGCCUAACACAUGCAAGUCGAGCGUGAAAGGAGCUUCGGCUCCGAGUAAAGCGGCGAACGGGUGAGUAACACGUGGGUAACCUGCCUCAAGGACUGGGAUAACUCCGGGAAACCGGGGCUAAUACCGGACGAUGUCGUCCGGCGCAAGCCGGCCGACCAAAGGUAGCUUCGGCCUCUGCCUUGAGAUGGGCCCGCGUCCUAUCAGCUUGUUGGUGAGGUAACGGCUCACCAAGGCUACGACGGGUAGCUGGUCUGAGAGGAUGAUCAGCCACACUGGGACUGAGAUACGGCCCAGACUCCUACGGGAGGCAGCAGUGGGGAAUCUUGCGCAAUGGGCGAAAGCCUGACGCAGCAACGCCGCGUGCGGGACGAAGGCCUCGG
rnacentral:rRNA from 1 species